rnacentral:lncRNA from 1 species
AUGGUGAUCAUGUUUGUGCAGUCCGUUCCAAAUUUCUAGCAGAUUGAGUGAUGUAGCAUACUCUCCAUCGCCCAUAUCAAUGCUCCUUAUUCUAAAUGCAAAAGCGACUCUUGUCGUCUUAUAUGUUAUGUGUCUCCAUUCAUUGAAUUUUUCGAGAGAUGUCCUUCCAAACUCAUCCGCAUCCACUGAAUUGAGAGAUGAGAGUCCAUG